AUGUCUAGAAAGAGAUACUGUGAAAGAAUUGGCAGACAACAUAAAAGCAAUCAUGUUAUAUACGUAGUUGAUCUGAGAAGGGCUGUUUAUUACCAGAAGUUCCACGAUCCUGAUUGCAGAGGCUACCGAUCUCCCUUGCGACCUGUCCCGGAUAAUGUUAUACCUCAUUCAUCCAUUUCCGUCAAUCUGCCUGGACAUAAUUUGGAUUGGGAGCAGCCAACUGUAAACAGUGACGAAAGCAUUUUCAGCAGCUGCAAGAAAGAAUGGUAGCUUGAAGCCAUAAGAG